rnacentral:rRNA from 1 species
AGGAUAGAGGCCUACCAUGGUGGUAACGGGUAACGGGGUGUUAGGGCACGACACCGGAGAGGGAGCCUGAGAAACGGCUACCACAUUCAAGGAUGGCAGCAGGCGCGCAAAUUACCCAAUCCCGACACGGGGAGGUAGUGACAAUAAAUAACAAUACGGGGUUCUUUCGGAUCUCGUAAUUGGAAUGAGUACAAUUUAAAUCUCUUAACGAGGAACAAUUGGAGGGCAAGUCUGGUGCCAGCAGCCGCGGUAAUUCCAGCUCCAAUAGCGUAUAUUAAAGUUGUUGCAGUUAAAAAGCUCGUAGUUGAAUUUCGGGGUUAGUAGGUUGGUCAUGCCUCUGGUAUGUACUGAUCUCACUGAUUCCUCCUUCCUGAUGAACCGUAAUGCCAUUAAUUUGGUGUUGCGGGGAAUUUGGACUGUUACUUUGAAAAAAUUAGAGUGUUUAAAGCAAGCUAACGCUUGAAUACAUUAGCAUGGAAUAAUGAAAUAGGACGUUCGAUCCUAUUUUGUUGGUUUCUAGGAUUGACGUAAUGAUUAAUAGGGAUAGUUGGGGGCAUUAGUAUUCGAUUGUCAGAGGUGAAAUUCUUGGAUUUAUUGAAGACUAACUACUGCGAAAGCAUUUGCCAAGGAUGUUUUCAUUAAUCAAGAACGAAAGUUAGGGGAUCGAAGACGAUCAGAUACCGUCGUAGUCUUAACCAUAAACUAUGCCGACUAGGGAUCGGAUGAU